ACUGAGCGGCGGACGGGUGAGUAACGCGUGGGUAACCUGCCUCAUACAGGGGGAUAACAGUUGGAAACGGCUGCUAAUACCGCAUAAGCGCACAGUACCGCAUGGUACGGUGUGAAAAACUCCGGUGGUACGAGAUGGACCCGCGUCUGAUUAGGUAGUUGGUGGGGUAACGGCCUACCAAGCCGACGAUCAGUAGCCGACCUGAGAGGGUGACCGGCCACAUUGGGACUGAGACACGGCCCAA
rnacentral:rRNA from 1 species